GACGAACCGUGCGAACGUUAUUCGGAAUUACUGGGCGUAAAGCGUGCGCAGGCGGUUGUGCAAGACCGAUGUGAAAUCCCCGGGCUUAACCUGGGAAUGGCAUUGGUGACUGCACGGCUAGAGUGUGUCAGAGGGGGGUAGAAUUCCACGUGUAGCAGUGAAAUGCGUAGAGAUGUGGAGGAAUACCGAUGGCGAAGGCAGCCCCCUGGGAUAACACUGACGCUCAUGCACGAAAGCGUGGGGAGCAAACAGG
rnacentral:rRNA from 1 species